UAUUGUUACAGAUGAUCGAGUGUUUGGACUCCAUGUUAUACUGAAGAUCCUGGGAAUUAUGAUGCUCUUAAUUGGGAUUGUCAUCUUUGAAUGCUGGUUCAGAUUCUUCAACAAACCAAAGAAGGAAACAAAAAACCAAAUCUAUGUCAACACUGUGAUGGAGACCAAGACAUGAUGAGCCACAAGGAGACCAGAAGGCCUCAUGCAGCAGGAU